rnacentral:rRNA from 1 species
UUGACCUCGGAUCAGGUAGGAAUACCCGCUGAACUUAAGCAUAUCAAUAAGCGGAGGAAAAGAAACCAACAGGGAUUGCCUCAGUAACGGCGAGUGAAGCGGCAAAAGCUCAAAUUUGAAAUCUGACCCUUCGGGUCCGAGUUGUAAUUUGCAGAGGAUGUUUCGGGUAAGAUUUAGGUCUAAGUUCCUUGGAACAG